rnacentral:rRNA from 1 species
GACGAACGCUGGCGGCGUGCCUAAUACAUGCAAGUCGAACGCACAGUUUAUACCGUAGCUUGCUACACCAUAGACUGUGAGUUGCGGACGGGUGAGUAACGCGUAGGUAACCUGCCGGGUAGCGGGGGAUAACGAAUGGAAACGAUAGCUAAUACCGCAUAAUAGUAAUUAUUGCAUGAUAAUUAAUUGAAAGGUGCAAUUGCACCACUACCAGAUGGACCCGCUUUGUAUUAGCUAGUAGGUGAGGUAACGGCUCACCUAGGCCACAACACAGAGCCUACCUGAGAAGGUUGUCGGGCACCCUGGGACUGGGACACGGCCCCAGCUCCCUCGGGGGGCAACAGUAGGGGAUCUUCGGCAAUGGGCGACAGUCUGGCCCCGCCCCGCCGCGGGAGUGGAGAAGGGUUUCCGAUCGUAAAGCUCUGUUGUAAGGGAAGAACGGGUGUGAGAGUGGAACGUUCACGCUGUGACGGUACCUUACCAGAAAGCGCCGGCUAACUACGUG